rnacentral:rRNA from 1 species
GAUGAACGCUGGCGGCGUGCCUAAUACAUGCAAGUCGAGCGAAUGGAUUAAGAGCUUGCUCUUAUGAAGUUAGCGGCGGACGGGUGAGUAACACGUGGGUAACCUGCCCAUAAGACUGGGAUAACUCCGGGAAACCGGGGCUAAUACCGGAUAACAUUUUGAACCGCAUGGUUCGAAAUUGAAAGGCGGCUUCGGCUGUCACUUAUGGAUGGAUCCGCGUCGCAUUAGCUAGUUGGUGAGGUAACGGCUCACCAAGUCAACGAUGCGUAGCCGACCUGAGAGGGUGAUCGGCUACACUGGGACUGGGACACGGCCCAGACUCCUAGGGGAGGCAGAAGUAGGGAAUCUUCCGCAAUGGACGAAAGUCUGACGGAGCAACGCCGCGUGAGUGAUGAAGGCUUUCGGGUCGUAAAACUCUGUUGUUAGGGAAGAACAAGUGCUAGUUGAAUAAGCUGGCACCUUGACGGUACCUAACCAGAAAGCCACGGCUAACUACGUGCCAGCCGCCGCCGUAA